CAAGGAAAAAGAGCUCAGCCUAGAAUCACCUGGAACUUAUCACAGUUGUCAAAAUAUCACAGUAUUGCCCCAAAUAUAACCAGUCCUGCAGACUCAAGAGUGCUGCUACUGCCUGGAAGAUGCACUGAGAGAAAUCCUGAGGAUUUUAUUACUGAUAUCUCUCAAGAGGAUGGAAGUUUCCAGCUCUGCCUGAAGCUCGAAUCAAAGUUUUAGAGGCAGCUGCCACUUCCAGCAGGUUACUAGAUAGAGGAAGGAAGUUAAUCAUCUCUCAUUAACUGGUUACAAUAAGUAACAGAGCAGCCAGAGAUAUUUUUAACGGGACAAAAGCAGCUUAUUUUGCACACAGCUUAACGAACAUCAUGAACAAAAUCUCCGGGAAAGGCAGAGAUCCAUCAGGAUUUGAGGAGGGUGAAGCACUGAGCUGGGAGCUCCAGCAAGGAGGGACAACCCUGGUGCUGAGUGAAUAAAGAGUGAGCACAGCCCUGUUCUGUCAGAUACCAGGAGAGCCUGAAUGUGCACAAAGCAGCUGAAGGGAGAUGACAAGAAAGAUGGAGAUGAACUUUUUACAAGGGCGUGAAGUGACAGGACAACGGAGAAUGGCUUCAAACUGACA
rnacentral:lncRNA from 1 species